AGCUUGCUCCACCGGAAAAAGAGGAGUGGCGAACGGGUGAGUAACACGUGGGUAACCUGCCCAUCAGAAGGGGAUAACACUUGGAAACAGGUGCUAAUACCGUAUAACAAUCAAAACCGCAUGGUUUUGAUUUGAAAGGCGCUUUCGGGUGUCGCUGAUGGAUGGACCCGCGGUGCAUUAGCUAGUUGGUGAGGUAACGGCUCACCAAGGCCACGAUGCAUAGCCGACCUGAGAGGGUGAUCGGCCACAUUGGGACUGAGACACGGCCCAAACUCCUACGGGAGGCAGCAGUAGGGAAUCUUCGGCAAUGGACGAAAGUCUGACCGAGCAACGCCGCGUGAGUGAAGAAGGUUUUCGGAUCGUAAAACUCUGUUGUUAGAGAAGAACAAGGAUGAGAGUAACUGUUCAUCCCUUGACGGUAUCUAACCAGAAAGCCACGGCUAACUACGUGCCAGCAGCCGCGGUAAUACGUAGGUGGCAAGCGUUGUCCGGAUUUAUUGGGCGUAAAGCGAGCGCAGGCGGUUUCUUAAGUCUGAUGUGAAAGCCCCCGGCUCAACCGGGGAGGGUCAUUGGAAACUGGGAGACUUGAGUGCAGAGGAGGAGAGUGGAAUUCCAUGUGUAGCGGUGAAAUGCGUAGAUAUAUGGAGGAAC
rnacentral:rRNA from 1 species